UGCCAAGUACCGCAUGCUGCCAUGUACCAUUUUUACCAACAUACUCCUGUGUUUGACUAGAAUUCGCAAUAAAGCACUCAGCAACAUUCAUGAACAUUUUAUGGAGACAAAAUGGCGACACCUACUCCCACCACGAAACUGACUGUCAGCGGGCGCAUAAGUGAUACAGAUAGCAAUGUCGAUACCAGUGCGGAACAGCCGUCUCAUACGUUUCCUGUUGCCAAAAAUUCCUGCGGCACACGGGUUGCAGGGGAGGGCAUUAACUUGUACCAACUUGCCAAGGAUUAUGGCUGUACGCUUUUUAACGUGAUGACUUGGAAGACAUAGGAAUUUUUCGGUAUGAAAUCAAGCAAAGUUGGUAGCAACAAUCCGCAAAAUCAUGACACCAUCCACACAGCUCCCACAGCCUAUCAGCGUUCGGCAGGCGGAAAAUCAGUUUCGGAAAAAUUAUCUGUUUAAGUACUUGCUUGUUGGUAUAUCCUGGGUUAAUCUUUGCACAGCUGAUACUGGGCGCUUGGACCAUUGCCGCAAUCGAUCGAACUUGCAAACCUAAUACCAACGGCUAUAUAACCUACCGGAAUGCCACGAUUCUUAUGCCUCCCAAUUAUGAUUAUUAUUUUGUACGGUGGGUGGGUGAUGCAACAACUGAUACAACAAUAUACUUUUGGGAACUUGCCUACACAACCAAUCCGCAGGACAUUUUACUCUUAAAACUGUGCUACAAACUGUACUGCUCAGAAACAGAUUUCCAUUCGUGCAUGCGUUAGGAAGUGAAGAUAUCGAGCCGAGUAUCUGCGGUGAGAAAAAUGGCCGGUCUAGCUGUAGCAUUUGCCGUUGUUCAGCUGGUGGGUCUUAUACAGAUAGCAACGUGCAUAAGCGGUUGUUCGAAUGUACGAGCAUCCGGUAGCGAAUCUUAUCUGGCGUGUUUCACUGGGUUGUGUCUCUGGGUUGUUGGAGUCGCAGUAAGUCUAGUAUCGUUUCUGUGGUUAAUUAUUGCCGUGCAUGAU